UUUAAAACAGUUUACAUAUAUUUUAUUCUUUCUAACUCUAAUAGUGCAAAGCUGUUUCUUAUUUUAUUUCUAUUGUGUUCCUGUGUCUUUGGUAUUGUCAACUUGGGUUGUGUUCACCCUCAACUCAGUGUUCAGGCCAGGUAAUCGUUCAGUAGUAAGCUAAUCUAUUGUUUCUUUUGUUACCUGGUGUUCUCUGGAGUCAGAUACUUUUAAACAUUCAAGCAAGACAGGUGGUUUUCAGCAUUGCAAGUUUAUUGUUGAUCAAGUUCUGCACGGCACAGUUAUUAACAGCACAGGUUAUCAAUGAUGUAGCACAACCAGCAUCAUUAUUCAAACGACCUGACCCACAGUCGGGUCGUUAUAGAGAUAUAUAUUUGUGUGCGAAUGUUUUUAUAAACAUCGGGAUCUUCACAUCCCUCCAGGUGAUCCCUGAAUAAAGACCUUAAACCCCA